AACGUUCUUCUGGUGCUGUUCAUCUGAACCAUUACUGAGAAGAAAGUCACGUUUGUGCUUCAUGACAACCUCCAUGUCUCCACCUGGGAUUUUGUUCCAACCUCUGGGUCACGGACUGGUACUGAUACUCCACUUUCAUGUUUUACAUGAAAUGGGGCUAUAGUGGAAAAGUGGACUUGGGUCAGGAAGGUUCCAGGUUGGAGUCCACCAGCUGCCGAGUUACCACCAAAGUGCUCCAAGCAUGGCACCAUCCCCACACACUGGUGCCCCCUGCUGACUGUCGUGGUGAUGGGUUAAAAGCAGAGGCCACAUUUGGUGGCAUGUGCAGUGGUACAGCGGUGUGUCACAGUGACCAGUAGUUGACUUUUUCAUCCUUUUCUUUCCUCACAGCCACCUGUGACCUAAGACUCUGCUGUCAGUUCCACUCAGCUCCAGUAGAGGAGGAUGUUCAGCCAGUCCACACAGCUCAAUGGAGCAAACAAAUGAAGAAAUUAAGUCUCCACUGGACAGUGAAUGUUUUUCCUGGUGAAUUAGCUUCAAACCGAUAUCCAAGUGUUUCUAUAUGCGUUUGACAUUUUAUGUUUGUGUCUCAGGGCAUUUUGAACCUUCAAAAAGACUGCACAAAGCAAUUCAGGAGUUCCAGGCUUUUAUUAAAUACAAGUCAGAUGUCCAACAACAGCAAACAGACAAAAAUGGUGAGACAGAACUGGUCAAAAGACCUGGUCUUUUCUUUUGUAAACUGCAGUAACUAAGUACACACUUUGGUUCCUUUUUUCUACUAGUCAGAAGACUCUACACGGAGGAGGAUGAUGGGACAAUUUUAAAUUUUGUUCAAACACACCCAAACAGGGGAAACCAGAUAUGGAAGGACAUGGAGGCAAUCUUACCUAAAAGAACGGCUAACUCGAUUAGACUCAGGUACCAAAGGUACCCGAGUCACAGGCUAGAAAAAGAUAAGCAGGAAAAGAGGUGACUUUCAAUCCCAAGGACGGUGACUGGUGACUAUCAGCUGGAUCUCAGGAUGGAUGAAUGAGCAGCGCAGCGGUGGCUUAGUGGUUAAGGAAGUGGACUUGGGUCAGGAAGGUUCCAGGUUGGAGUCCACCAGCUGCCGAGUUACCACCGAGGUGCUCCGAGCAUGGCACCGUCCCCACACACUGCUGCCCCCUGCUGGCUGUAGAGCUGGAAAGGUCUCAAAAAGACUAAAUAGACAAACAAGGAUUCACAAAUGCAUUUUGAAAGUUCACAAACGUAAGCAUGUGAGGAUAUUUUUUAGUUUCAUAAAAUACAUUUGUGAAUUGUCUAACGUGCAUUUAUAACGUGCUUUUAAUUUGUAAAUCUUCCUGCAUUUGUUGUUUGUGGAUUUUUGAGAUUUGUCUAGUGGUGACCAGAUACACAAUUGCAUUUUUUCUACAUGGAAAGCAGCCAAUCAGAUGUCUGGUUCGUUUGCAGCCAAUCACACAACUGUAUCCCCACGAGGGGCCUUGUGUGAGGUCACUUCACUGCGCCACAGAUCCAUCUGCCAUAACAGAAAUGGCGUUAUUUUCCUUCCUAAGUAUGAAUUAGUAAACGCACUCCACUGCCGCUUCCAGACGCCAUUUCUGUUAUGGCAGAUGGAUCUGUAGCGCAAUGAAGUCGUGUGAUUGUCUGCAAACAAACGAGACAUCUGAUUGGCUGCUGACAGGCCCCAUGUAGAAAAAAAUGCAUUUGUGUAUUUAUUCUUUUAGAGACUGUUCUAGCUCCACUGCUGUGGUACAGUGGUGCAGUGGUGUGUCACAGUGACAAGUAGUUGACUUUCAGUCCUCUAUACUGAGGAUAAAAGCUUUAAAAGUCAGACUUUGACCAUCAAACAUCACUGAACUUUUCAUCAAUUCAGGAGUCCAGC